GCUGAAGCUGUCUAGUGUCCUUAAACAAAAGAGGCUAUGAUAGGCCUUAUGGAAAAAAUAGAUAUAUUAGAUAAGCUUCAUCACACACAUGAGUUCUAGUGCAAUUGGCACUAGUUCAAUGUAAAUCAAUCAGCAAAGUGUAUAUUAAAUAAUUUCUCUUUAAACAGGAACACACAUAAAACAGUGUUAUAUAUUGAUGUGUUAAUGAAAAUGUGACCAGAGACUCUCAGGAAUGAGCAGUAGUCCAGUAUUCACUAAUUCAGUGUUCUAGUGACUUGAUAGAAUGGCCACAAAUAAUGAGAAUAUUCCUUUGUUGUUGAUUUUUUAAUGUAACUGUUUUGUGAUCAAUGAGUUUUGUGAUCAAUUAUUUUAUGCUUUUAUCAAAGCAUAAAAUAAGAAAAUGUGGCAUUAAAUACAUCACUAGAAGGAUAAUUUUUCUGUAGUGUGAAACCUGAAACAAAGGUAGUUUUGCCUCAAUCUCCCUGACUCACAGCUUCAAGUUUGGGUCCCUAGUCUAGCAGAACCCACAAUGCUCCCAAUCUUCCUGGGCCUUCAGUCAGUGAGCCCUCCACUUCAACCACUCAUACUUGUUUAUAUUUUGUAGGUUCAUGAUACUGCUGGUUUUAGUUUUGACCCAUCUGCAUCUUUUUUUAAUCCUCUUUGUAUUUUUCUACCAUGACUACAAUAUGGAACAGGAAGCAUAAAUUUGUCGCAUCUUGACCAAGUAAGAACAGCCAAAGUAUUUUGAGAAUAAGAAAAUUAAAAAGCCAGGCACAGUGUCACGUGCCUGUAAUCCUAGCAACCUGAAGACCAAGGGCAGAAGGAUCGCAAAUUCGAGGUCAACCUUAGGAAUUUACUGAGACCCUGUAUCAAAAUUAAAAAACAAAAAGGGCGGGGGGGGCUGGGGAUGUGGCUCAAGCGGUAACAUGGUAGCGCGUUCCCCUGGCAUGGGUGCAGCCCGGGUUCGAUCCUCAGCACCACAUACAAACAAAGAUGUUGUCUCUGCGGAAAACUAAAAUGUAAAUAAAAUAUUUUUUUAAAAAAAGGGUUGGGGGUUUAGCUCAGAGGUAGAACACCCUGACUUCAAUCCCC
rnacentral:lncRNA from 1 species